ensembl:lncRNA
CUUUUGGUCAAAACAGCCACAAGCCUGGCCCAGCAUACAGAGCAGCAGAGAAAUAGCUCCUACUUUUCCGUGUCAGAGUGACAGGUUUUGACAGCAUAGACAAUGUGUACGAACAAUUGCUUCUGAAGCUGUCCUGGGAGUCUCAGAGUGCAGAGCUAGGAGCUGGAAAAUCCCAGACUCCUGGCCUGAAAGAGACCUGAAGAAGCCACUGUUCUGGGAAAACUGAGAGUUCUGCAGUGAAAGAUUAGCUACUCUAUUUAAGAACAUUAUUUGACUUCACACACACACACACACAAAUAUUACAGCAAGACUGAUGAAAAACUAAAAAAUUUAAAAAUUCACCCAUGAUGUCAUCAUGACCAUAAAAUAGCCUGUUUUCAUAUGUCUACAUAUUUCCCUGCCAGUCCUUGUCUGUAUGCAUUUAUGUAACUUUUACAGAGUUAAUGUCAUCAUUAAGAUAAAAGCAUGUUUUUCUUUUUACUGAACAAUUCAUCAUAAUUAGGGACUUACUUGGCAGUCCAGUGGUUAAGACUCCUU